rnacentral:rRNA from 1 species
UGCCAGCAGCCGCGGUAAGACAGAGGGUGCAAACGUUGUUCGGAAUUACUGGGCGUAAAGCGCGUGUAGGCGGCUUGGAAAGUCGGAUGUGAAAGCCCUGGGCUCAACCUAGGAAGUGCAUUCGAAACUCCCGAGCUUGAGUUCUGGAGAGGAAGGCGGAAUUCUCGGUGUAGAGGUGAAAUUCGUAGAUAUCGAGAGGAACACCGGUGGCGAAGGCGGCCUUCUGGACAGUGACUGACGCUGAGACGCGAAAGCGUGGGGAGCAAACAGGAUUAGAUACCCUGGUAGUCCACGCCGUAAACGAUGGGUGCUAGGUGUCGCGGGCUUUGACCCCUGCGGUGCCGUAGCUAACGCAUUAAGCACCCCGCCUGGGGAGUACGGCCGCAAGGCUAAAACUCAAAUAAAUUGACGG